AACGAACGCUGGCGGCGUGGAUUAGGCAUGCAAGUCGCGCGAGAAAGUAGUAGCAAUACUGCGAGUAAAGCGGCGAACUGGUGAGUAACAGGUGGGUAACGUGCCCUGAAGUGGGGGAUAACACCGGGAAACCGGUGCUAAUACCGCAUAUGACUUUUCUGACCCUGGUCUAAAAAGUUAAAGCAGCAGUGCGCUUCAGGAUCGGCCCGUCCCCGAUUAGCUUGUUGGUGAGGUAAAAGCUCACCAAGGCGACGAUCGGUAGCUGGUCUGAGAGGAUGGUCAGCCACACUGGGACUGAGAUACGGCCCAGACUCCUACGGGGGGCAGCAGUCUAGAGGCUUCGGCAAUGGGGGCAACCCUGACCGAGCGACGCCGCGUGUGGGAUUGAAGGCCUUCGGGUCGUAAACCACUGUCAUAGGGGAAGAAUGUCCGGAUGGCGAAUCCGGAAGAGACGGUACCUUAGAAGGAAGCCCCGGCUAACUCCGUGCCAGCAGCCGCGGUAAUACGGAGGGGGCAAGCGUUGUUCGGAUUUACUGGGCGUAAAGGGUGUGUAGGCGGCUGGGCAAGUCUGGUGUGAAAUCUUCAUCGCUCAACGGGAAGAAGUCACUGGAUACUGCCUAGCUCGAGUAUGGUAGAGGCGAGCGGAAUUCCAGGUGUAGCGGUGGAAUGUGUAGAUAUCUGGAAGAACACCGGUGGCGAAGGCGGCUCGCUGGGCCAUCACUGACGCUGAGACACGAAAGCGUGGGGAGCAAACGGGAUUAGAUACCCCGGUAGUCCACGCUGUAAACGGUGCGCACUAGGUGUGGGGGGUAUCGACCCCCCCUGUGCCGACGCAAACGCAUUAAGUGCGCCGCCUGGGGAGUACGGCCGCAAGGUUG
rnacentral:rRNA from 1 species